UUUGGUAGAACAGAGGUGUGUUUACUCAAAUCUCUCUCAAGCCCUAACUCUACACUAUUAGAUCUCUCUGCAACCCUAACUUUAACUCUCCACUCUCCUUCUCUAUUUUCACUUUCAUAUACAGAACCACUUCCGAAUCUUAUGGUUUCAUCAUCCUCUUCACUUUCCCUUCAUUUUUAACCGAUUAAAACCAUUUUUCUACUGAUUAAAACCCUUUCUGCCAUUUGUUCUUCGAUUUCCACCGAUUAAACCUCCAUUUGCGCCGGUUAAACACUUUUGUACCGAUCAAUGUUGUGUUUGAACCGAUUAAUCGGUUCAUUUUAUGUUUCUCCCCAUUUUUAGGGUUCCUUCGGUCCAGAUUAGGGUUCUUUCUCCAUUUUGGAGCUUUCCCGCAAUCGUUCUGGCUUCUAUUCAUUCGUUUAGGGUUUUUUAACAUUUUCUUCCAAUCAUUCUCCGUUUCGCUCUCGAUCUCGAGUUCGUCUCAUUAUUUCGCUGCGUUUUCUCAUCAAGGAAGCUUCGAAGGAGUUCAAGUCGAGUCCGCAUCGGUCUUUUGGUCAUCUCCUUGGAGGCUCUUUCGUCAAGUGGCCGCAAAAUCAAUCACACCCGACGACGUUUCAGCGCUCCUUCGAGCCUGCUACUCUUUUGAAACCCAAAGAAGAGGUUGGAUUGAAGACUGAAGGUGCUGUAGGGAUUGUUUUGAACCAAAAGCAGGAAGUGGUGACAAAAUCUGCUGUGGAGAUUCUAAACGAUCAACAUAGAAAUUCGGCUCCUGUUGCACUCUUGGCAAUGACGCGUAGGGUGCGUCCUCUCGUUUCAUGAAAGUGGGGUUGAUCAAUUAGUAGAGAUAAUCAAGGUGUGGAGGCUAUAGUAAAAAGGAACCUGGUGAAGUACUGACACUUCAGAAGCGAGUGUUAGCAGUGCUAAAUGAGGCAAGGAAUAAUUUGGAUGGUAAGAUUGUUAAGAGAGGGGAUUAUGCGAUAGCAGCAACGAGGGCGGUUUAUUAUGUUACCCUUGUCAAUCACAGUAGUGCCUCAAAGUGAAACAAGGUGCUUGCAUUAAAGGAUUUGCAUUCCCUGCAUGGGUUGAAAUAGACACGUGGAAAGCUUGGUCUUGGUGCAAAGAUGGUAUUGAUUGAGGAGAAAUAGGUCCAGGGACUAGGAAGUUGAAGUACGGGCUUGCUAUGUAUACAUCCUCAAGAGUUCUGCAUAAACUGUUGUUGUUUCAGAAUAAAAUCUGCUGAAAAACUGUUUUGAUUCAAAUGCUGUAGAAAAUUAUUUGCUGUUUUGAUAAAAAUGUUACAGGAAAUUAUUUGAUGUUUGGAUAUAAAAAUGCUACAGAAAAUUGUUUGUUGUGUUGAUUCAAAUGCUACAUAAAUAUUUUAUUGUAUUCGUUGG